rnacentral:lncRNA from 1 species
GGAGGCCCAUGGACUGAGCUGUCAAUGGCGUAAGUUUCAAUGCCCUCGAUCACAGACCCCUCUACGUCAUGUGAGAGCGGCUCUUCAACUAAUCCAUGAGCGAUCUCAGAUUGGAACCACACGAACCAAUGUACGCUAUUAGCAUUAGCUCACUCUACCAAGUACAUUCUCUGUGGUCGGAUAGCACAGAGCUAAAAAAUUGCAAUACGAAACAGCACCAAAAGACCAUUAGUCUUACUAGCUCCUCCAAAACCUAGAGACAACGAAAUGAAUGACUAAACUCAAUCCAAAGCCAGAGCUCAAGUCACGUAGACAACAACUAGAUAUCCCAACAAAACCCUUAAAAAGGCACAACAAACGAAUUGUGAAUGACCGGAGACAAUUGCAAAUGGAGAAGAAAGCAAGACCACGACCGGCAGCCACUACUUCACCAAGAAACUCCGCUAAAGCUGCUACAAAAGGCAACAUAAUUUGACGAUAACUAAAACCUUACGCCACUGAGAACGUAAUUACCUCGCAAAGCACCUAAAGCUAAAGACGAUCAGCCACACUAUGACGCAGAUUAGUCCUCAAGUCCCUGCUGUCAUAGAGCAACAUCAUGACGACCUCAGAUUUGUUGCCUCGCCAAACCACCAUA